GGUUGUCGCUGACGGCUCGCGGGGUUAUCGGUUUGUCGGGUCGUCAGGGACGGCCGAAGUCGUCGCCGCCGCUACGUCUUUGGGUCGGGGAAGCAGGGGUGGUUGGGUUGGUGGGGGAGGUACUGGGGUCUAUUUCCUCGUCGACGGAAGAUUUUCCCGUAACCUGAUUUUGUCGCAUUUAUUGCGCCUCUUCCCACAAUUCUGCCAAGUUUUUCCGUCUACUGCAAUUUUCUGCCUACCAACGAGAGCCACGCUUCACCCCGUGGUAGUCGUCCUAGGAGGAGGACGGCGACCGGCAACUGCUCGAAAGAACGAACACGUCUUCCCGCCAGACGUUUCGGUGCCCGCGCGUCACUACGCCAUCAGUAUUAAAUGACGUUGUAAAAUAUUUAACGCAAUUGAGGGCAGUUGUUAAUAAAGUUUGUUUUUAGAAA